AUUGAACGCUGGCGGCAGGCCUAACACAUGCAAGUCGAGCGGAUGAAGGGAGCUUGCUCCUGGAUUCAGCGGCGGACGGGUGAGUAAUGCCUAGGAAUCUGCCUGGUAGUGGGGGAUAACGUCCGGAAACGGGCGCUAAUACCGCAUACGUCCUGAGGGAGAAAGUGGGGGAUCUUCGGACCUCACGCUAUCAGAUGAGCCUAGGUCGGAUUAGCUAGUUGGUGGGGUAAAGGCCUACCAAGGCGACGAUCCGUAACUGGUCUGAGAGGAUGAUCAGUCAAAAUGGAACUGAGACACGGUCCAGACUCCUACGGGAGGCAGCAGUGGGGAAUAGUGGACGAGGGGCGAAAGCCUGAUCCAGCCAUGCCGCGUGUGAAGAAGGUCUUCGGAUUGUAAAGCACUUUAAGUUGGGAGGAAGGGCAGUAAGUUAAUACCUUGCUGUUUUGACGUUACCAACAGAAUAAGCACCGGCUAACUUCGUG
rnacentral:rRNA from 1 species